rnacentral:rRNA from 1 species
UACGGAGGGUGCAAGCGUUAAUCGGAAUUGCUGGGCGUAAAGCGUGCGCAGGCGGUUUGUUAAGUCCGCUGUGAAAUCCCCGAGCUCAACUUGGGAAUUGCAGUGGAUACUGGCAAGCUGGAGUAUGGUAGAGGAAGGUGGAAUUCCCGGUGUAGCAGUGAAAUGCGCAGAUAUCAGGAGGAACACCGGUGGCGAAGGCGGUUCUCUGGGCAUUACCUGACGCUGAGGAGCGAAAGUGUGGGGAGCGAACAGG